CAGAUUGACCUCGGAUCAGGUAGGGAUACCCGCUGAACUUAAGCAUAUCAAUAAGCGGAGGAA
rnacentral:rRNA from 1 species